UAGACCCUGAAGUAUGAAGUGGCAGUUCAUGGCCUUCACUAAACUAAAAUGCUACUAUGUUUCACUCCCUGGAGUGAGGAAAGUCGCACUUUCUUCACUCCAGGGAGUAACGAAAGUAGGCUUGUUCGAGCUGCUGAGGUGAAAAAUAGUUAUCACGCUCUUAUUUUCGUCAUAAUUUUAAAGCUCUACGUCAAAACUAAACGUUUUUUUGUCCGAAUAUAUAAACCAGUAAGUAUUACGCGAUAAAUGAAUUAUAAAACAUGAAAGCAGAACAUGUUUUAAAAGCCAAUGUAUAGCCAAUUUUGUGAUAUAUCACACAGAAUAUGUAUACAGUUCAUAGUGAAUGCAAGAGCCAUAUGAAUUUUAAGAAACCGCUGCUUGGCUGCGUUUCGUUGUAGAGUCAGACCCUGUAGUAUUCAACUUCGGGUAAGGGCAAAAAACAUCCCUUUUUAACUUAUUAUCCUUAAUUAAUGUAAAAUCGGUAAACAUAUUCAAUUCCUGCAGCCAGGAAGCGUUAUAUAGAAUCUACAAAUUACUAUAUUUAUCAAAUCUUUGGAUGCAAUACUUAAAAGAAAUAUAAAAAUUGUUAUGAAUAUUACUCUUAAAUGUCACAAUUGUUGCGCACAGAUUAGUUUAUGAUAUUUAUAUGAAGACUACAACGAUGCAUCGCAUGCUUGCUAAAAUAUGACUGCUUUUUUAACCAAUUGUAAUCUUUUUUGUGGCAUUAUCAUUGUCACGGUCACAAAAAUGAAGUGUUAACCCCUCGUUUGCUUAGAUACGGAUCCGUGCGUUGGAAUUUAAAUUUAUUGUUUUAAUGUCAAGGUCACUCAAAAAGUGAUCAAAUUUGACAGGCAGCAUACGAGAGGUUAAGUUAACUAUUAAUUUCAAUUUGACGCAUAUUUUUUACAUGUAUAUCUAAAUAACUCACCAGGAUAUUUUGAAAUGAUUUCUAAAAGAUCAUUGUAUUAUUAAGAUCAGAAGUGAUAUAACGUCAUCCUGGUGCCCUUGAAUUACAAGUAAUAAUGCAGUGGCCCCAAAUUGUUGAGAUGCCCAUUUCUUUAUUUCCAAUACACACACUAAAUAUUAAUUUGGCGAAAAGAUGGCAGCUGUCCCUUAUUGAGUGGGAUAGUUAACCCUUAGGAGCGCCCUAGUAUCACACGUGUGUAAUAUCACACGUGCAUGAUUCACAUAUCAUACCUCUGAUUCUAACAGAUAGCGUUUCCGAAAAAAAUAUUAUACCUUAUAAUAUGUAUGUCAUGUGAUCUACUUUACUAACUGGGCAGCCUCGCUUACGAGUUUUUGAAAGUCAUUUUUAUUUGACACCUUUGUAUAUUUUUAUUGAUUAUAAACUAUUAUUAUGGGUUUAGUUUCCUAUAAUGCUUGUAGGAAUAUCCAGUUUAUUUAAAUGAUAGUGCCAUUUUAUGUGUCGUUCCAUGGAAAGGUAUUAGCGAAACUCAUUAGUCGCAUUUUUAAAGCUUUGUUUUAAUAACGGUGUAAUCGCCAGUGGGUCAAGGGCCCCUUUCGCGUGGAACGACACGUAUUCGGGUUACAGUUGACGGUUAUAUUAUUCGUAAUUUUAACCUUAUGAAGUUGAAAUAACUCUUAAACCUCUAAGGGACCUUACAAAUAUCCAGUGAUAAUAAUAAUUAGGAAACCAUAAUUGUCAUGAUAUCCAUACAAAAUUAGUGUAUGAGUGUUAACUUUCAAAAAAACAGUAUUAGAUAUACUAUAAUAUUCCAAGUUUCAUUCAUAACGCACUCUUUCAUUUUUAGACCCAUGUGGAAAUGGGUCAAAAGAUGUUAUAUUCCAUUCAAAUUUCUACCUUAACCUAGUAUCUAUUAUGUCUACAUUCUAUUUUUAGACAGCUUGUUUGUAUCAAAGACUAAAUCCUUAAAUGGCGUUAAGAGAGAUAAUUGAAUGAAUAGAACCGCUCUUAUUAUUAGGACUUAAAGUCUAAUUUUGUUGAAUCCACUAGCCUUAUUGAGAUGCAUGAACUAUAUUGAUUUUUAUCCUAACUAAAUAUUUAUAGGAGCUGGUACAAAAUGUGUACUAACCUGUGAGCGUUUUUUAAUCAAUCUUUGUUAAUAUAAACAAUUUGCUAUCAUUUAAAUAUGCUAGAUAAUAUUCUUAUUUUUCUACUAUACUUCGGUGAACUUUCUCUCUAUGAAAAUAAGUAUCAUGAAACGGGCCCCAGUUCUAUUCGUACAAAUGUCCAAUGCAAGUACUAGAGGAAGAAAGUAAUAUAACUGCCUCUCGUUCUUGUAGAACGACAGUCAGGACCAUUGUAACUAGGGUUAAGGAUGAAUUACUUCUGUUUGCUACCAAUCUCGUGUCAUAAAGAGCUUAUUACACUAUCCUAAUUUAGUGACUAACAAGAGGGACGACGCUAUAUGUGAGAAACGAUAGGUUGUAUCUCUUAUCGCGUCUCGCGUAUAGCGGCGCCCCUUUUGUUAGUCACUAAAUUUAGCAAAGUGUAAUAAGCCCUUAAAUGAGGGCUAACGCGUAUGAAUUCGCCGCUAGGGGCGCUAGUGUAGAUGGUGGUCUUUUCCAUAGUUCGAAAUGUCAAAUAUCACUUGUCACUUCAAUGACUGACAGCUGUUCUUUAGUCUUUUGGACCACCAUCAACAGAGGCGCCAACUGGUGAGCAAAUAACGAUAGCCCUCAUUCGAACAUUCCCAUUAGGCUGCUUAUACAUGGGUGGAUUUUACACGCGGCACAUACAAUGUAAAAUUGCUCGUGUAUAGCUUGGCAAGCCAUUUCCGUCAGUAGAAAAAGGCGGCAAAUUAAAAACAAGUAGGCGCGAAGGGUUGUCCUCCCAUAGAAAAUUUAAAUUGCUCGCUUUUUUCUACUGACAAACUGGGUUUUCAAGAGUAUAUAUAUUUAUAUAGAACCUGUUUCACUAGAUUUUUUUUUUUCAGAUUCUAGUAGUUAGACCAAGAAAAGUCUGCAACGAUUUUGAUAUCAUACGCAGUGCAAGUGUUAUUUAUACGUCAUAAUUUCAUAGAAGUUUGACGUUUAAAAUAACACUUGCACUGCGUGUGCUAUCAAAAUCGUGGCAGACUUAUCCUGGUCUAACUCUAGGUACCAAAUUUUAAUUUUAAUGUACUUUCUGUAUACAUAUUAAAUUAAAGUAAGGAAAAUCCAUUAUUUAUUAUUUGUCUAUCUCCAUCUUUGUCAGACGAUUGUAGCAUGACAAGGAAUGAUAGAGAUGAACAUAGGCUGUUACAUUUCUAUGUAGACAUCACAUUUUAUAAUGAUAUGAGAUUGUCAAACCAAUGUUCGAUCCGGUUAUAUACUUUGAUGGUUAUGUAUAAGGCAGCUAAAGCUCCCUUUAUUAUGUAUUAAUAUUACAAAACGCUACAAAUAUGUUGCUCAUGCCAUUCAAAUAUUUUCAGAAAGGUGAUAUUCUUGUCAGUAGCUGUAAUUACUGUUUUAUUUUAAUUGAUUUUUAUUGUAAAUUGGAUUUGGAAAUAAAAAACAAU